AGUGAACGCUGGCGGUAGGCCUAACACAUGCAAGUCGAACGGCAGCACAGUAAGAGCUUGCUCUUACGGGUGGCGAGUGGCGGACGGGUGAGGAAUACAUCGGAAUCUACUUUUUCGUGGGGGAUAACGUAGGGAAACUUACGCUAAUACCGCAUACGACCUACGGGUGAAAGCAGGGGAUCUUCGGACCUUGCGCGAUUGAAUGAGCCGAUGUCGGAUUAGCUAGUUGGCGGGGUAAAGGCCCACCAAGGCGACGAUCCGUAGCUGGUCUGAGAGGAUGAUCAGCUACACUGGAACUGAGACACGGUCCAGACUCCUACGGGAGGCAGCAGUGGGGAAUAUUGGACAAUGGGCGCAAGCCUGAUCCAGCCAUACCGCGUGGGUGAAGAAGGCCUUCGGGUUGUAAAGCCCUGUUGUUGGGAAAGAAAAGCAGCAGGUUAAUACCCCGCUGUUCUGACGGUACCCAAAGAAUAAGCACCGGCUAACUUCGUG
rnacentral:rRNA from 1 species